UGAACGCUGGCGGCAGGCCUAACACAUGCAAGUCGAGCGGGAUGAAAGGAGCUUGCUCCUGGAUUCAGCGGCGAACGGGUGAGUAAUGACCUAGGAAUCUGCCUGGUAGUGGGGGACAAACGUUUCGAAAGGUAACGCUAAUACCGCAUACGUCCUAACGGGUAGAAAAGCAGGGGGAACCUUCGGGCCUUGCGCUAUCAGAGUGAGCCUAGGUCGGAUUAGCUAGUUGGUGAGGUAAAUGGGCUCACCAAGGUCGACGAUUACCGCAAACUAGGUCUGAGAGGAUGAUCAGUCACACUGGAACUGAGACUACGG
rnacentral:rRNA from 1 species